rnacentral:rRNA from 1 species
ACUCAAAUGAAUUGACGGGGGCUCACACAAGCGGUGGAGGAUGUGGCUUAAUUCGAGGCUACGCGAAGAACCUUAUCCUAGUCUUGACAUGCUUCUGACAGCCCGUGAAAGCGGGUCUCUCCGCAAGGAGCAGUUGCACAGGUGCUGCAUGGCUGUCGUCAGCUCGUGCUGUGAAGUGUCGGGUUAAGUCCCUUAACGAGCGAAACCCUUGUCACUAGUUGCCAGCGGAUCAUGCCGGGGACUCUAGUGAGACUGCCGGUGUUAAACCGGAGGAAGGCGGGGAUGACGUCAAGUCCUCAUGGCCUUUAUGAUUAGGGCUGCACACGUCCUACAAUGGCACGCACAAAGGGAUGCAAACUCGCGAGAGCAAGCAAAUCCCAAAAAACGUGCCCCAGUUCGGAUUGCAGGCUGCAACUCGCCUGCAUGAAGCCGGAAUCGCUAGUAAUCGCGGGUCAGCAUACCGCGGUGAAUGUGUUCCUGAGCCUUGUACACACCGCCCGU